UUUUCUCUCUAUACGUUUGUGUGUCUUUGUCCAGCUGCAGCACAUGGUGCCAAACAUGAGCUGGGCAUAUUCGGACAGCUGGGAGCAGUAAUAAUCGGCUCCAUUCUUUCCCUCCUAUUCUUCAUCACCUCUUUCUACUUUUGUCACAGGUGUUGCUGUAGAAGGAGACGUGUGUUCAAUGUGGAGCAGCCGUAUCUCACAGACCCUCCGGCAUCUACAGAGACACACACAGAGGAGAGACCUGCACAACAUGCUGCCCCUGGCUUUGACCCCACAAAACUGUAUGCAAAGAUUAAAGAGGAUUUCUACUAUGGCCGGCUUUGGAAGUCCUACCAAGGCAGAUCCAGGAUACCUACACAAGGAUCUCCGUCUCCCCCGAGACAGAUUUACUACCGUCUAGGUGAGAGGCCUGUACCACAGAGAGAGGAGGAAGGAGCAACCAAAGGCCCAGACACAGUGACGUCAUCACCAUCAGACACCAGCAACUGAGCGUGUCCUCACCCACUGCUGACUACAAGCCAUCAUUUGCUACAAUACAACAAAAAAGCAAUAGCCUGUGCAAUCAUGUAAGAGGAAGUAAUACUGGAAAAGGAUUACUAUAAGCAACAUAAUGCCCUAGCAUGCACUAUAUAUCAAUGCAAAAACUGCUGUUUUUGGUCUGUAUGUCUUAGACUCUGAUUUAUAAGAGCUUGCUUGAAACUACGUUGGAAUCGAAUACACUUGCACACUUGCAUGCAGCUGAUACAGUAAAUCUCAAUGUGUACGAAGUUAUUUUUUGUUUGAACUGAAAACAGGUUCACAUACUUUGAUUAUUACAUAUGAUAUAUUUCAGGUAAAUAAACUAUAGGUUAACAUUUGUAAUUGUGUCAAUGGAUUGAUUUCAAAUUCCCCUUAUAAAAAAAAGGUAAUAACUACUGAAACAGGACACUGAACAGGACACCACACAAGCAUUAUACAUUAUGUAUACAAUUCCUCACAGAAGCCAAAAUAUCACAUAUGUAGAAGUUCUAUAAAUAUUAUACUCAUUUCUAAUUUCCUCAUAAUACCACAUUUGUUU
ensembl:lncRNA